rnacentral:rRNA from 1 species
GUCGAACGAAGCAGGGGGGCGGAAUCUCUCCGGAGGGGAAGCCCCCCUGACUGAGUGGCGGACGGGUGAGUAGCGCGUGGACAACCUACCCCGCACUGGGGGACAACAGCCGGAAACGGCUGCUAAUACCGCAUAUGCGCACGGCCCCGCAUGGGGCCGCGCGGAAAGCGCAUGCGGUGCGGGAUGGGUCCGCGUCUGAUUAGCUUGUUGGCGGGGUAACGGCCCACCAAGGCGACGAUCAGUAGCCGGCCUGAGAGGGUGGACGGCCACAUUGGGACUGAGACACGGCCCAGACUCCUACGGGAGGCAGCAGUGGGGGAUAUUGCACAAUGGGGGCAACCCUGAUGCAGCGACGCCGCGUGAGCGAUGGAGUACUUCGGUAUGUAAAGCUCUGUCAGCAGGGAAGAGAAUGACGGUACCUGACCAAGAAGCCCCGGCUAAAUACGUGCCAGCAGCCGCGGUAAUACGUAUGGGGCAAGCGUUAUCCGGAUUUACUGGGUGUAAAGGGAGCGUAGGCGGCAGGGCAAGCCUGAUGUGAAAGCCCGGGGCUCAACCCCGGGACUGCAUUGGGAACUGCCCCGCUCGAGUGCCGGAGGGGCAGGCGGAAUUCCUAGUGUAGCGGUGAAAUGCGUAGAUAUUAGGAGGAACACCAGUGGCGAAGGCGGCCUGCUGGUCGGUGUACUGACGCUGAGGCUCGAAAGCGUGGGGAGCAAACAAAAGUAGAUACCCUGGUAGUCCACGC